GCCCUUGUAGCAAACAGGUUGUAGGCAACCGUCUUUUAAACGGUGGGGCUAGGUUCGAUUCCUAGCAGGGGCA
rfam:Cellulophaga phage phi38:1, complete genome.